GAUGAACGCUGGCGGCGUGCUUAACACAUGCAAGUCGAACGGAGUUAUAGUGACGGAAGCUUUCGGGUGGAAGAUAUUAUAACUUAGUGGCGGACGGGUGAGUAACGCGUGGGUAACCUGCCUUAUACAGGGGGAUAACAGUGAGAAAUCAUUGCUAAUACCGCAUAAGACCCCAGUAUCGCAUGAUACAGAGGUAAAAGAUUUAUUGGUAUAAGAUGGACCCGCGUCCUAUUAGAUAGUUGGUGAGGUAAUGGCUCACCAAGUCGACGAUAGGUAGCCGAUCUGAGAGGAUGACCGGCCACAUUGGGACUGAGACACGGCCCAAACUCCUACGGGAGGCAGCAGUGGGGAAUAUUGGACAAUGGGGGGAACCCUGAUCCAGCGACGCCGCGUGAGUGAAGAAGUAUUUCGGUAUGUAAAGCUCUAUCAGCAGGGAAGAAAAUGACGGUACCUGACUAAGAAGCCCCGGCUAACUACGUGCCAGCAGCCGCGGUAAUACGUAGGGGGCAAGCGUUAUCCGGAUUUACUGGGUGUAAAGGGAGCGUAGACGGUAGUGUAAGUCUGAAGUGAAAUCCCGGGGCUCAACCCUGGGACUGCUUUGGAAACUACAUAACUAGAGUGUCGGAGAGGUAAGCGGAAUUCCUAGUGUAGCGGUGAAAUGCGUAGAUAUUAGGAGGAACACCAGCGGCGAAGGCGGCUUACUGGACGAUAACUGACGUUAAGGCUCGAAGGCGCGGGUAGCAAACAGG
rnacentral:rRNA from 1 species